CGAACGGGUGAGUAACACGUGGGCAAUCUGCCCUUCACUCUGGGACAAGCCCUGGAAACGGGGUCUAAUACCGGAUAAUACUUUCCUCCGCAUGGGGGAAGGUUGAAAGCUCCGGCGGUGAAGGAUGAGCCCGCGGCCUAUCAGCUUGUUGGUGGGGUGAUGGCCUACCAAGGCGACGACGGGUAGCCGGCCUGAGAGGGCGACCGGCCACACUGGGACUGAGACACGGCCCAGACUCCUACGGGAGGCAGCAGUGGGGAAUAUUGCACAAUGGGCGAAAGCCUGAUGCAGCGACGCCGCGUGAGGGAUGACGGCCUUCGGGUUGUAAACCUCUUUCAGCAGGGAAGAAGCGAAAGUGACGGUACCUGCAGAAGAAGCGCCGGCUAACUACGUGCCAGCAGCCGCGGUAAUACGUAGGGCGCAAGCGUUGUCCGGAAUUAUUGGGCGUAAAGAGCUCGUAGGCGGCUUGUCACGUCGGAUGUGAAAGCCCGGGGCUUAACCCCGGGUCUGCAUUCGAUACGGGCAGGCUAGAGUGUGGUAGGGGAGAUCGGAAUUCCUGGUGUAGCGGUGAAAUGCGCAGAUAUCAGGAGGAACACCGGUGGCGAAGGCGGAUCUCUGGGCCAUUACUGACGCUGAGGAGCGAAAGCGUGGGGAGCGAACAGGAUUAGAUACCCUGGUAGUCCACGCCGUAAACGUUGGGAACUAGGUGUUGGCGACAUUCCACGUCGUCGGUGCCGCAGCUAACGCAUUAAGUUCCCCGCCUGGGGAGUACGGCCGCAAGGCUAAAACUCAAAGGAAUUGACGGGGGCCCGCACAAGCAGCGGAGCAUGUGGCUUAAUUCGACGCAACGCGAAGAACCUUACCAAGGCUUGACAUACACCGGAAACGGCCAGAGAUGGUCGCCCCCUUGUGGUCGGUGUACAGGUGGUGCAUGGCUGUCGUCAGCUCGUGUCGUGASAUGUUGGGUUAAGUCCCGCAACGAGCGCAACCCUUGUUCUGUGUUGCCAGCAUGCCCUUCGGGGUGAUGGGGACUCACAGGAGACUGCCGGGGUCAACUCGGAGGAAGGUGGGGACGACGUCAAGUCAUCAUGCCCCUUAUGUCUUGGGCUGCACACGUGCUACAAUGGCCGGUACAAUGAGCUGCGAUGCCGCGAGGCGGAGCGAAUCUCAAAAAGCCGGUCUCAGUUCGGAUUGGGGUCUGCAACUCGACCCCAUGAAGUCGGAGUUGCUAGUAAUCGCAGAUCAGCAUUGCUGCGGUGAAUACGUUCCCGGGCCUUGUACACACCGCCCGUCACGUCACGAAAGUCGGUAACACCCGAAGCCGGUGGCCCAACCCCUUGUGGGAGGGAGCUGUCGAAGGUGG
rnacentral:rRNA from 1 species